GAUCGAGCAUGAGCAGUUGUAGGGGUGACGCUUCGCAGGCUGCGCCAGGUGAGGGCGGAAAAGGGCGGGGCCGCCCCUCCCUCGCGCGCUCACAUCCGGAUUCAUGCCACGACGCCGAGGGAGGGGCGGACAGUGACGUCACCGCAUGGGCGGGGGCUCGGGAGCGCAGCCCGGGGCUGAGGUGCGUCACCGCGGCGGUUCCGGGGCGGGUGUUCGCUCUGCGAACUGGGGUUCCUUCCCGCGGCCGUUCCUACAGGCCCUUGUGUCCCGUGGCCCGCACGAGCCCGCGGGGCCCGUUAACGGCGCCCUGUCAGGCCGUGUGCGAGCGCCGCCCCGGCCCGCGCCCCCCGGACCCAGUGGGGACCCCGCCGACCACGAAACUGCAGCGGACAAUUGGAAUUUGUCAAGGAAUUCACAGAAUUGUGAGGCAUUACUCAAAAGGAUGAGGCAGAAAAGGACAACAGCCAGCCAGCUUUCCUGUGCAAGAAGAGGGCCUGCAUGAGGAUGGGUGACUUAUGAACGUAGGGGUCAUGAGAAGAGUUAUUGAUCUCCAGAAUUGAUUUAUAUAAAAUCUUUCAGACUUCAUAUGGGAAACCAGAAAGGCCAGAUUAAAAGAGUCAGCUGGCAGAGAGCCCUGAGCUGAUUAGCAAGGCUGUUAUGCCCAAAGAGCAAGGCAGCAUCACUGUGUGUCUCAUCCAUUACCUCCCAGGACAUGCUGUACUCCUUAUACUGCAAUUCAUAUUGGAGAAUUUCAACGAGGUACCAAGGCACAUUCCACACACUCCACCAUAUCUGACACUUGCUGGCAGUGGCAUUGCUCUGGAGGUUCAAAGGUGGAUCAAGUUUUACUGUAAAUAGAGGAGGCAGGUUUUUUCACAAUAUUUGGAACAUCACAAAAGGAGAUGCGUGAUACCAGGCUGACUAAAGUCUUGGAAGAUAAAGCUUGGUCCGAAGAGUGAUACUAAGACCAGAAGUAGACCAAAUUAGUUUCCAGGUUGGAUCAGAGCAGCUACAGAACUGACAUAAAUUAACGAUAACUCCAGCAGUCUCUGGGGAUAAUCUUGCAAGCAAAGAACCACUCUGGAUGUCACAUUCUGCCCUAAAAACAUACCACACAUAUAGACACUAGAUACUAGUAUUUCAGAUACUAGAGCAUUUCUCUGAAGUACCAGGCCACGGGACAUUCGAUUAAAUCCGUGACUUUGAUUUCUCAUUAGAUAAUUCCUCAGGAAAAAGUAAAACAACAAAACAAACAAUUGUGGCAAUCUAAUUGUAAAUUAUCUAUGGCACAAGAAAACAUGAUGCAAGUGCGAAGUCUUCUUGAAAGAUGCUCCAGAGCCAGCCCUCUCUAAAGUCCUAGAAAGGUCAGAAUGGAGAGACUCAGGGACUGCAUCCUCACUGGUACAGUCCACACAGCACACUCUCCAGGAAUGGACAGUCUGGCUUGUUUUCAUUGUUUCCACUUGCUGUCUUUGAGACACCCUUUGUUAGAGAGCAUAUCAGACCUACCCCAAAGCUGCUGGGCAGAGCCACAGCUCAUGACUGCCCUUGUUCAUACUUACUGUGCUUGCGGGGAUUGUACACUGGAAAGGUAAUGUAUUUGUGAUUACGUCCAAAGAAGUUUCCUUGGAGAGAGACUCUAUAACCAUCUGUUUCCAAGAUCUGGCUGGCUAAAUGAAUUGUGCAGUGGUACUGAUUCUGCAUGCUCUCUGUGGCAGUCAGUUUGCAGCUGGCGUUGUGGCCCUUUGACCAGAGGCUAGAAGAAUAAAAAGGCUGAAAGUUUCUUUGAAGGCAUACAAUGAAGUGUUUUUUUAGUUUAUGAAGAACAUGUGGCAGCUUAGCACACCACCACACUCCGGAAUACCAUGAACCUCUUUAGUGCAGAGAGCACAGAAAGCAAUCCUAAAGCUGGCUGGAUGGCAGGGCUGAAUAGGGAGGAAGGAGAUGCCUUCAUAACCUCUCUGCUGAAAGCACCAGACCUUCAAGGAGCUGCAUACAGAGCCCAAUAUCUGCCCUCUCUGAAAGUGAGAGGGCUGCAUGUCAUUGCCAGGAAAGCAGCUGGGUAGGGGGGAAGAAGUUAGUUACAACUGCACAGCACAGAAGCAAUGAGCUGUACAUUAAGGCCUCUUUUGCUAGGAACAAACUUCAGUACUGACAGCAAAACAUGUUGGAAGUUGGUUUGUUGUUUUGUGGUGUAGCCAUUUAUUAGCAAAUUUUUCACGUUGCAUGUGAUCCCACAAGAAACAGGGAUAUCACAGUUUAUCAGCUUGGCAGUUCUUCAUAGAUCUAAACCCCAGUAUUAUUUAGAGCUAGGCUAUUUUUGACUUAACCCUACCAGAAUAUGAGGCAUCUAAUGUCAGCAUGGCUUACCCUCAUGUAAUAGUUACUGGUGGUCAAGACAAUGUUAUUGCAUAAUCUAAACACAUUCAUCUCAAAUUACCCUGUCACAUAGCAAACUAUUCACCCUAUUGUUUCCAUUAGAGGAAACACUAUUCAGAUAAUAUUCUAAAUCACAGAAUCACAGAAUCGACCAGGUUGGAAAAGACCUCAGAGAUCAUCAAGUCCAACCCUUGGUCUAACACAGCUGUGGUUCCCAGCCCAUGGCACUGAUGCCACAUCCAGUCUCAUCUGAAAAGCCUCCAGGGAUGGUGAAUCCACCACCUUCCUGGGCAGCCUAUUCCAAUGUCUGAUUACUCUCUCUGUAAAAAAUUUUUUCCUAAUAUUCAACCUAAACCUCCCCUGGCACAGCUGAAGACCGAGCCCUCUUGUCCUACUGCUGGUUCCUGGGAGAAGAGCCCAACUCCCACCUGGCUACAACCUCCUGUCAGGGAGUUGAUAGAGUGAUGAGGUCUCCUCUGAGCCUCCUCUUCUCCAGGCUAAACAACCCUAGCUCCCUCAGCCUCUCCUCACAGCACUUGUGCUCGAGUCCCUUCCCCAGCCUCGUUGCUCUUCUCUGGACCUGCUCCAGCCCCUCCAUGGCCUUCCUGAACUGAGGGGCCCAGAAACUGGACACAGCACUGCAGGGGUGGCCUCACCAGCACUGAAUAAAUCUGUUAUUAAAUCUUAUAACUCACUGGACUUGUAUAUAUAUAUACUAGCUAAUAGAUUAAACCACUAGUGGUUUAAUUUCUAGGCAAAAAGACAAGAAAUUAUUAGAAGUUGAUUAGGGAGCUCCAUGGACGAUGGGCUCUGGAAGUUCCCAGAUCACAGAGACUGAAGGCCAGGAAGGAAAGGCUCCCUAUGCUGAGGCAUCUGCCAGAACAGUUCACUGAGUGGAUAGCCAGAGCUGGCAGAACAUGCAGCUGUGUGCACUGUACCUCAGCUGCCCCAGCUGAGGCUGUGGGCCCACAAAAGGGAGCAGCUUCCAAGAUAGCCCAGGUCUGGGGUGAUGGGGUGGCAAAGGUAGCUGUGCCACAGGUCUCCUGCUGUGGAGGGAGCAAAGCCCACAGCUGGACCCCAUCUCUGCUUUUCCAUGCCAUCCUGCCCAUGCCAGGGCUGGGGCUGCCACAGGCAGCACUCGGUAUGUGGCUCUUACUUGGUGAAAUGCAGGUGGAAAGGUCCAUCGCCCACGGGCUUCUCCGUCGCCCAUGUGCAGUUCACGGUAGUUAUGUAGUUAUUCAGGCAGCUCAGGCUGCCACAGAGCUCUGCAGAGGAAGGAGACCAGAGCUGGAUUCAUGUAUCACUGGAUGAGGCCUUGCUCAGUACAUCAAAUAAAUGCAUUACUUGCUAGUACUUCCUUUACUGACACUGCAUCUAAUCUUCCCCAUCAUGUUCUUCCUCUCUUGUACCACACUUCACUGCAUGAGAUGAGUGUAAGAUCUUAGGGCAGGGACCUUGGGCAGUAGCUACACUUUUUCUGCUGCCCAGCUUAUCCAGUAUGUGCUCAGUUCCCUAGGCUUGGCAUUACCAGCCAGCUGUACCAGUUCCUGGGACCUAGGAAAGGGCAGGAUCUUGGGUUGCAUAUUUAAGAGUCUGUGAAUGAAAAAUGAGCACAGGUAUGUGCCUGUUUUCCUACGGUGAACCUAUUCCAGAUCUCCUCUUACCUCUCCCUCUUCCUCCACCAAAGAGCAGCACAGCAGUAAUACACAGCCAGAGGCCCAGCUGCCACACAACUCUUCCCAUUCCAGAUAAUAUCUGAAACAGAACAAUUUUUAGGAGCAGUUUUGUCAGUAUUUGUACCAGCAGGUUGAAGCUUUACCUACUUGCUUCUGCAAGUGUGAUGCAAGCUUAUCUUGAAUCUCUCAGGGCACCAGCUCAGCUAUAUAAUUUCUUCUAUAGGAGCUGGUCUUCUCAUGGCAGUAAAUAAUACUUUGUACAGGAAUCUAAAGAACGAGCUGCAUUAAAGGAAAUCUUUAAUUCCUGCAAUUUGAUCAAGGGUGGGUGAAAGGGUGGGUGUUUCAUCUUUCCUUCUUCCUGCAUUUUUGGCAUCUGGUUUAUGACAAUUUAAGAGCAGCAGAGAGCCACAGUGGGUUGGAAAAAAUGUUCACGUUUCCCUGUAUCUCAUUUCUGACAGCAACCGAAACCAGAUGCUUAGAGAAAAUCAUAGCAAUAGAGCAUAGAUAUUCUUCUCUGAAAACAUUCUCAGCCUCCAGACAUUUGCAGCUCAGGGGCCUCCUGGAGCAGAUGUAAUUUCUGCAUAUUCAGAAAAGAGAAACAGAGAAUAACUGAUAUGCUCCUGGUCAAAGCAUUCAUUGAGAGAUGUAGAAUACUUAGGACCUAGUCAUUACCCCAGUUCACAGAAGGGUUGUGUAAGGAUGUUUGAAGUGUAUCUUCUGCAAUAUGGAACACUACCUCUGUACAGUGUUAAGCUGGACUCACUUUUUUUUUUUUUUUUUUUAAUUAGAAAUUCCAUUCUGUGAAUUCUCUCCCGAGUUUUAAUUUAAAAUUAUACUUUUUCACUGAAAGCUUCUGAUUUGGUAUUCUUAUGGCAAAGUUUAAUACGAAGAAUAUGGACCUGAUCUACUCAGCAAUACAUGGUGUUUUUAAAAGAUGUUUUCAGUUUGCAAUACUUGCUGUUACCUGAACACAGCAAAUGAGCCCAGCACUGCUGCGAGGAGUGUGAUGCUCCAAGGAGCCUGAAACCCAGAAAACAUGGAGUGAGUUUGUAGACAGAGACCACUAAAAAACAAAAACAGUUUCUUGAAAAUAAAAGAAUUUUGGAGGAACACUGUUUGCACUGCUUGCCUAGCACGUACACUGAACUGAGUUCUAGGGCUGGGCUAACGUAAGGGUCUGAGAAUUUUCUGUCUUAGAAGAGCUUGGGUUAGUUAUUAUUAAAAAAAACAAAAACAAAAAACCCAAACCAACAACUAUCAACCAAAAUUUGCCAGAGAUUAUGAUCUCUCUUUCAGGACAAGCUGGGGAAAAGGGAGAGAGUGUCAGGAUAGGAGAAACACUAAGUACAGCAUUAGCACAGGACCAAACAGAUACAGCCUGGCUAUAGAAUAAGAUCAUGAUUUCAAACCAACAAAGGAUCUGAAGUAAUCUAGAAUAGAAGUGAGCGAGAAAAAGCCUAUGCUUAGCAAGGAUUGUGAUAUUUAAAUCAUUAGGAUUGUUUUACUGAAGGGAUUAAGUGAUCUGAUGGCUACAACAGCAGGAACUGGACUCCAUGACCAAGAGUAUCCUUCCAGUCAUGAAUUUCACAAAGCUAUACAGCAGCAUCCACAGAAAACUUCUUGCCUGUGA